rnacentral:rRNA from 1 species
AGUGAACGCUGGCGGUAGGCCUAACACAUGCAAGUCGAACGGCAGCACAGUAAGAGCUUGCUCUUACGGGUGGCGAGUGGCGGACGGGUGAGGAAUAUAUCGGAAUCUACUUUUUCGUGGGGGAUAACGUAGGGAAACUUACGCUAAUACCGCAUACGACCUACGGGUGAAAGCAGGGGAUCUUCGGACCUUGCGCGAUUGAAUGAGCCGAUGUCGGAUUAGCUAGUUGGCGGGGUAAAGGCCCACCAAGGCGACGAUCCGUAGCUGGUCUGAGAGGAUGAUCAGCCACACUGGAACUGAGACACGGUCCAGACUCCUACGGGAGGCAGCAGUGGGGAAUAUUGGACAAUGGGCGCAAGCCUGAUCCAGCCAGACCGCGUGGGUGAAGAAGGCCUUCGGGUUGUAAAGCCCUUUUGUUGGGAAAGAAAAGCAGCAGGUUAAUACCCCGCUGUUCUGACGGUACCCAAAGAAUAAGCACCGGCUAACUUCGUG